rnacentral:rRNA from 1 species
UACGGAGGGAGCUAGCGUUGUUCGGAAUUACUGGGCGUAAAGCGCACGUAGGCGGCUUUGUAAGUUAGAGGUGAAAGCCCGGGGCUCAACUCCGGAACUGCCUUUAAGACUGCAUCGCUUGAAUCCAGGAGAGGUCAGUGGAAUUCCGAGUGUAGAGGUGAAAUUCGUAGAUAUUCGGAAGAACACCAGUGGCGAAGGCGGCUGACUGGACAUGUAUUGACGCUGAGGUGCGAAAGCGUGGGGAGCAAACAG